rnacentral:rRNA from 1 species
AUUGAACGCUGGCGGCAGGCCUAACACAUGCAAGUCGAACGAGUGGCAGACGGGUGAGUAAUGUCUGGGAAACUGCCUGAUGGAGGGGGCUAGCUACUGGAAAAGGUAGCUAAUACCGCAUACCAUCGGAUGUGCCCAGAUGGGAUUAGCUAGUUGGUGGGGUAACGGCUCACAUAGCCGACGAGCCCUAGCUGGUCUGAGAGGAUGACAAGCCACACGGGAACGGAGACACGGUCCAGACUCCUACGGGAGGCAGCAGUGGGUAAUAUGGCACAAUGGGCGCAAGCCUGAUGCAGCCAUGCCGCGUGUAUGAAGAAGGCCUUCGGGUUGUAAAGUACUUUCAGCGGGGAGGCGUUACCCGCAGAAGAAGCACCGGCUAACUCCGUGCCAGCAGCCGCGGUAAUAC